GGGGUCGACUGGUUUUGACAGCAAGCCUAAGCAUGAAGUAAGCACGUCGAGCUAUGAGACUAAUGCUCGUUAAUCUCUGUUUCAACACUUUAAAUGGCGAAGAUAACUACGCUCUUGCUGCCUAAUCUGAAUGAUAGUAGGAUUUCUGGCUAAGUCCCUACUAAGUAGGGAAGCGAGAUGUCUCUGAAAGCCCUUGUUGAUGGCUCGUCACUUAAGAGGCACCAUUAAAAUCAACAUGGGACUUACCAAUGGCUUCUUUUGGUAGGUUCAGCUCUUAUAGAAGAUAAGGAGAUUGUGGGGUGUUUCCGCUCAGCAAUAUCACGAAAAUCAAAUGGAAACUAAGCGUGUAGAAAGCCUUGUGGUUACUUGUUUGGACGAGAGUUCGAAUCUCUCCGACUCCACAG
rfam:Capnocytophaga sp. oral taxon 338 str. F0234 genomic scaffold SCAFFOLD1, whole genome shotgun sequence.